rnacentral:rRNA from 1 species
GACGAACGCUGGCGGCGUGCUUAACACAUGCAAGUCGAACGGAAAGGCCCUGCUUUGGUGGGCUGCUGGAGGUGCGAACUGGUGAGUUACACGUGAGUUACCUGUCCCUCACUGUGGGGUAUCUUCAUGAAACUUGGGGUAAUCGCGGAUAGGAUUUCUCGCCUCUUGGUGGGGGCGGGUAGGUUUAGGUGGUUGGGGGUGGAAUGGCCGCUCAUCAGCUUGUUGGUGAGGUAGUGGCUUACCAAGGCUUGGCAGGGUAGCCGGCCUGAGAGGGUGACAGGCCACAUUGGGACUGAGCUACGACACAGACUCCUACGGGAGGCAGCAGUGGGGAAUAGUGCACAAUGGGCGGAAGCAUGAUGCAGCAAAGCAGCGUGCGGGAUGACGGCCUUCGGGUUGUAAACCACUUUCGCCUGUGACGAAGCGUGAGUGACGGUAAUGGGUAAAGAAGCACCGGCUAACUACGUG